UACGUAGGGUGCAAGCGUUGUCCGGAAUUACUGGGCGUAAAGAGCUCGUAGGUGGUUUGUCGCGUUGUUCGUGAAAACCUGAGGCUCAACCUUGGGCGUGCGGGCGAUACGGGCAGACUGGAGUACUGCAGGGGAGACUGGAAUUCCUGGUGUAGCGGUGGAAUGCGCAGAUAUCAGGAGGAACACCGGUGGCGAAGGCGGGUCUCUGGGCAGUAACUGACGCUGAGGAGCGAAAGCGUGGGGAGCGAACAGG
rnacentral:rRNA from 1 species